CAUGUCACUUGUUCACUCAAGUAACAGAUCCUGAAACUGAUUUGUUUUCUUGCAGAUUGCACUAUCGGUGCGAGCUGUUCAAUGUUCUUCAACUUCAAACAAUUUAGAGUGUGUUUUCUCUGAUUUUUAACUUUAUGAUUAAGGCUUCCUUUGGUUCACCGUUUAAAGCCAGUGAGGUGCAGUUGGACUCCCAACCUCACUGGGAAGCUGUUUGGUUGAGUGUUUCAAUGCAACCAAAAUCAAUUUUCACCACACUGCUAUUUCAAAAAUUAACUGGAGCUUUCAGCAGCAAUUUGGCGGCCAAAUUCUGCUGAUAACGGGGAAAGAAAUACCUCUGCUGCAAGCUGUGUCAACUCCUCCUCAAUCGAAGACUGAUAAGCCUGUGAUUUACUCAAAAGAUGGAAAUGUCACUGCAUUGAUAUGGGGAGCAUCACCACAAUCACGAUCUGAUCGGCAGAAGGACCGAGUUGAGACAAAUCCUGAACAGUUGGCAGCUGCAUCAGUAUAAAAGAAAAUUAGUUCUCUGGUCACUAGUGUUGGCCUUUCCAGUGAUUCCUAGUGAUGAUUUAAAUCUUGUAAAUCAUGGUUAGAUAAGUCAAAGUAAACAGGAGGGGUCUGAAAGAGGGACGGGAUUACAAAAUUCGUCAACUAUUUCUGCUCAACAUAAGAAAGUUGGUGAGAAAUCUCUUCUUUCAAUUUCUUCAUUAGUGCAGGUACAUCAUUUUGAGCUGCAAUUUUGAUAGAGGUGAAUCGAGUUCUUCUAACAGUAAAAGUGACCUUGAAAUUGCAAUGUUAAGGGAAACCAUUGCAAAUAGUUUAAUGAAUCAAUAUUUGUAAAAACAAAUUUAUAUCAAAACCUAAUUUCUAGUAAUAAUGAAACUUGUUAUGUCUUAUGUUAAUAUAUAUAUUUUUUUAUUGAAAA